UACGGAGGGGGCGAGCGUUGUUCGGAAUCAUUGGGCUUAAAGGGCGCGUAGGCGGCUCUUCAAGUCAGGGGUGAAAUCCCUCGGCUUAACUGAGGAAUUGCCUGUGAAACUGCGGAGCUCGAGGGCGGUAGAGGGUAGUGGAAUUCCUAGUGUAGCGGUGAAAUGCGUAGAUACUGGGAGGAACACCAGUGGCGAAGGCGGCUUCCUAGACCGUAUCUGACGCUGAGGCGCGAAAGCGUGGGGAGCAAACAGG
rnacentral:rRNA from 1 species